rnacentral:misc_RNA from 1 species
AACGCACCUUGCGCCCCUUGGCAUUCCGAGGGGCACACCCGUUUGAGUGUCGUGAAAUUCUCAAAAUCCUUUUCUUUGAUCGGAAUAGGACUUUUGGACUUGGAGGUUCAAUGCUCGCUUUCGCCUUUGAAAGCGAGCUCCUCUCAAAUGAAUCAGUGGGGUCCGCUUUGCUGGUCCUUGACGUGAUAAGAUGCUUCUACGUUUUGGAUUUGGCAUUGUUUUCUCCGCUCCUAACUGUCCCCAUGGGACAACGAUGGUGCUUCGGUCGUCGCCAUUUAUGGCGGGAGGCUGAACCCACAAAGAACCUUGACCUCAAAUCGGGUGAGACUACCCGCUGAACUUAA